rnacentral:snRNA from 1 species
GUGCUCACUUUGGCAGCACAUAUACUAAAAUUGGAACGAUACAGAGAAGAUUAGCGCGGCUGCUGCACAAGGAUGACACGCAAAUUCGUGAAGCGUUCCGUAUUUUC